GAUGAACGCUGGCGGCGCGCCUAACACAUGCAAGUCGAACGAGUAAGACGCCUUCGGGCGUGGAUAGAGUGGCGAACGGGUGAGUAACACGUGACCAACCUGCCCCCUCCUCCGGGACAACCUCGGGAAACCGAGGCUAAUACCGGAUACUCCGGGCCCCCCGCAUGGGAUGCCCGGGAAAGCCCUGGCGGGAGGGGAUGGGGUCGCGGCCCAUCAGGUAGACGGCGGGGUAACGGCCCACCGUGCCUGCAACGGGUAGCCGGGCUGAGAGGCCGAUCGGCCACAUUGGGACUGAGACACGGCCCAGACUCCUACGGGAGGCAGCAGUGGGGAAUUUUGCGCAAUGGGGGCAACCCUGACGCAGCGACGCCGCGUGCGGGACGAAGUCAUUCGUGACGUAAACCGCUUUCAGCGAGGAAGAACCAUGACGGUACUCGCAGAAGAAGCCCCGGCUAACUACGUGC
rnacentral:rRNA from 1 species